rnacentral:lncRNA from 1 species
GGGCACUCUGGGUGAGAAUGCCUCUCAGGGAGUCGGUGAUGGUGCUCUGUCUGCAUAGAUUCAUCGGUGAUCAGAACCUUUUGUUAUAGCCUGUGAUUCUUCCUUUCAGACAUUUGCUGCUGCUGUGUGUUAUGUACAUUGGCAUCAGUUAUUUGUUACAGCAAUAUUUAGGGAUAUUGAUGUAAUGAAAUGUAGACAUCAAAGUGAUGACUUUGAUACCUAGAAGCAAGCCGGAAGAAAGCCACAUUUCUUUGAUUUCUUCAGGUUUUCAAGAAUGGGAACUUUCUACUUACUAAUUAAUUCAGUGUGGUGGGUGUGUGUAUCUGAGCUCCAGACGAAACCCAAGCAGUUUUGGGUAGUCAGAGCUAAAAUGUGAGUCAAGGAGGAACAGCUGUUUGACUGGAGGGGAAGAUUGUAUAUAGAGAUUUGGGCAAGUCCUGUUACGGAAUUUAGAUCUUUCUUUAAUAAUGGAGAGCUAUUGAUGAGUUUGGGUGUGUGUGGGGAACGUGGUCCCUCCUAUUAUCUGUACCACAGAAGCUGUUUGUGUGGACUAGAGACAGGAGACUUGUGGGGCUGUGGGACUAGUCCAGAUGAGAACCAAUGAGGACCUGAGCUAGGACACUGCUGAUAGAGGUGGACUCACAGACUGGAAAUGUUUAGAAGGUGCAAGUCCGGAUGCUUGGCUGCAAUCAACCAUAAUAAGUUAAAAGGAGGAUUACUGAAGAAAGAAGAUUUCUGAAGAAAGUUUCAAAGGAAUGAAAUGCCACUGAAGCCAGCAUGAUUAUAGGCCCUUGAGGGCUAAGCGACAGAGCAGGGGCCAUACUCAGGCUCUCCCACAAGAGGGAGGAAAGAGGGUCUCC